GACGAACGCUGGCGGCGUGCUUAACACAUGCAAGUCGAACGAAGUGGCGAACGGGUGAGUAAUACGUGGGUAACCUGCCCUCCUUUUUGGGAUAAGCCUUGGAAACGGGGUCUAAUACCGACUAAAGGGGGAUGGGCUCGCGGCGUAUCAGCUUGUUGGUGGGGUGAUGGCCUACCAAGGCGGUGACGGGUAGCCGGCCUGGGAGGGUGACCGGCCAAAUUGGGACUGAGAAACGGCCCAGGACCCUACGGGAGGCAGCAGUGGGGGAUAUUGCACAAUGGACGAAAGCCUGAUGCAGGGAAGCCGCGGGGGGUGUGAAGGCUUUCGGGUUGUAAAGCUCUAUCGGGACGAAAGCGGUACCAACAGAAGAAGUGACGGCUAAAUACGUGCCAGCAGCCGCGGUAAUUC
rnacentral:rRNA from 1 species